GGACAGGAGCCGAGAGGCCGAGCACCUGUGACGGGCACUGCUCUACCUGGAUAGCCCACAGGAGCCCCUGCGAGCGGCGGCCGUCAGGAUCAUGGGCAUGGCCGGGAUGGUCACGAUGGGCUGGAAGGAAGAGCUCCAGCUCCUCAAUGAGGCCCUUCAAGGCCUGAGAAGAGAUGACAGCCCUCCCCAAAUGAACAUAGUCAUUCAGCAGAGAAUCAUUGAGAGAUCUGCAGAACUACGUUUAUCUGGUGGCUCAGAAGAACCAUUGCUCCUUAAAGUCCUAAAAACACCAUGGAAGAGGAGAUCAACUUGAGAGGCCAGAAGAGACAGAAGAGACCAGCUGGAGCUUCGGGCACAGCUGAUGAUUGGCACAGCUGAGCCUAUGGGAAGCUCCAAUAGCUCCUGCCUUCUCCCUGCCUGUUGACAACUCCGUGCCUCCCCCCAGCCCUCAGACCCUGCCCGUCCCCUUUCUUCCCUCCCCACUCCUCCCUUUGCUUCACCUUCCAUUAAUAAACAGUUUGGCUUCUUCACUUUGCCUGCAUCCCUGUGGAGCUGAAGCACAUCUGGGGCCCUGGGACACACUGGCCCCUGCUGCCAUUCUCUCCCACAGACCCAGAGGAACGAGGGCAGGUCAGGCUGGAAAGGUCCCUGUGCUGAAGGUGCAGCUCCACAGCACUGUGCAGUUCCACAAUCUUGUUGAGCACACUAAAGGCCAGCAGAGGGACAAGGAGCCUGUGUGUCAGGACCAAAGUCGUGUCUAAGGCCCUGCCAUAUUUGGUCCACUGUUGUGCACGUCAACAAGAUCAUGAAGAGAAGACAAUGAAGGAAACUUUAUGGUUUAACUGGUGGGAAUUUGACUGUAACUGGAAAAACUCCACCCCAGAAGAGGAGAUGUCAGGCCUGGUUAUGGGCUGGAGGGAUGAAAAGGACAAAAUGCCCAUCCUUUUGAUGCAGGGGAUGCCCUGAAUGUGGGUGGCCAGCCUGCUCCUCCCACUGGAGCACCAUGCUGAGAUACCCUGAGAGCAGCCCAGUGCUCCUUGCUCCUCUCUGCUGACCCAUGAGCAUUUGUCUGCUUUCGGGAUGGCCUGGCUGUGUCAGGGCUGCUCCGUGGACACGAGACAGCUGGUCCUGACCCACUGGGUCCCAGAAGUGCCUGGCAGCAGCCCUGCAUCUACAUCAGGAUGCUGGCCAAGAGAGGCCCCGGAAGCUGGGGCGGCUGAUUUGAAGCUUUUGCAGAUACACACAGGGGAUGGCCAGCAGUGUUCCCUCAGGA